ensembl:lncRNA
GAAAAGCAUUUGAUUGCAGCUUUUGCCUACCUGAGGAAAAAGAAUUUGAAAAGCUCUUAAGAGCCCAACAGGUGGAAUGUGGAGUUCUUCAGACAGGAAUAUACUCCCAGUGAAACUUCUGAAGAAUGAUUAUCUUCCCUCUCCUUUUGGGCCAAGCUGAGAGAAGAAAAGCAAGUAGGAUGCGGGUCCACUGAUAAAGCAAAAGAGAGGAAGAGUCCAGCUACUUCCCCUUAAAAUUACACUGAAAGUUACACAGUGCCACCAGCAUGCAGAAUCCCUUUCCAUGAUACUGUGCUCUGAGUAAGUCAAAAGAAUGCAGGGGAAAGGCUGAAACAAUUCCACUUAGAAGGAGGUUACAAACAGGCUGAGUAUUGCAGCUGGCUGGAAGAAGUUUGUGUUCUGCAGGGCUAAGGUUUGACACCAAAGCAAGACCUGAUGCCACAGGGAUCAUCAGAAUCUAGUAAACAGAAAUAUCUAAGAAGAGCAGAUGCACAUUGUGUCUUCUAGGCAUCCUCUCAGUGGCAUGGUUGAAAUCCAGAUUCUGAUCACACAAGAUUCAGCCCAGAAGGGGAACUGCAUCCUGGGUUGCGUACCAGAAGGUCAAGGGAGGUGAUUCUGCUCCUCUACUCUGCUUUCAUGAGACUCCACCUGGACUAUUGCGUCAAGUUCUGGAGCCUCCAAUGUAAGAAGGACAUUGAGCUGUUGGAGCAGGUCCAGAGGAGGGAUACAAAGAUGAUCAGAAGGCUGGAGCACCUCCCCUGCAAGAACAGGCUGAGAGAGCUGGGGCUCUUCAGCCUGGAGAAGAGAAGGCUCCAUGCAGACCUUUUAGCAGCCUUCCAGUACCUGAAAGGGGCUUACAGGAAAGCUGGGGAGGAACUGUUUAUAAGAACAGGUAGCAACAGAAAAAGAGGAAAUGGUUUGAAACUGGAAGAGGUUAGAUUUAUAAAUAGAUAUCAGGAAGAAAUUAUUUACUGUGAGGAUGGUGAGACACUGGAACAAGUUGCCCAGGAGGUUGUGAAUGCCCCCUCCCUGGAAGCAUUCAAGGCCAGGCUGGAUGGGGCUUUGAGCAACCUGGUCUAGUG